AGCAGCCGCGGUAAUUCCAGCUCCAAUAGCGUAUAUUAAAGUUGUUGCAGUUAAAAAGCUCGUAGUUGAAUUUCGGGAUCGACGGGUCGGUCGCGCCUCUGGUGUGUACUGGCCCUGUCGGUUUCUCCCUUCUGACGAACCACGAUGUCAUUAAUUUGGUGUCGUGGGAAAUCAGGACUGUUACUUUGAAAAAUUAGAGUGUUUAAAGCAGGCAUUCGCUUGAAUACAUUAGCAUGGAAUAAUGAAAUAGGACGUUUGAUCUUAUUUUGUUGGUUUCUAAGAUCGACGUAAUGAUUAAUAGGGAUAGUUGGGGGCAUUAGUAUUCAAUUGUCAGAGGUGAAAUUCUUGGAUUUAUUGAAGACUAACUACUGCGAAAGCAUUUGCCAAGGAUGUUUUCAUUAAUCAAGAACGAAAGUUAGGGGAUCGAAGACGAUCAGAUACCGUCGUAGUCUUAACCAUAAACUAUGCCGACUAGGGAUCGGAUGAUGUUAAUUUUUUAAUGACUCAUUCGGCGCCUUAA
rnacentral:rRNA from 1 species